CAGCCGCCACGGUAAUACGUAGGGUGCAAGCGUUAAUCGGAAUUACUGGGCGUAAAGCGUGCGCAGGCGGUUAUAUAAGUCAGACGUGAAAUCCCCGGGCUCAACCUGGGAACUGCAUUUGAGACUGUAUGGCUAGAGUGUGUCAGAGGGGGGUAGAAUUCCACGUGUAGCAGUGAAAUGCGUAGAUAUGUGGAGGAAUACCGAUGGCGAAGGCAGCCCCCUGGGCCAAUACUGACGCUCAUGCACGAAAGCGUGGGGAGCAAACAGGAUUAGAUACCCCCGUAGUCCCUGUCUCUUAUAC
rnacentral:rRNA from 1 species